CACACCUGCCAGUGUCAGUCCAGGCGUAGCUACGGAUCUCUGUUCUGGCCGGCAGGUGUGAGAAGAAGCCACAGCAUAGGCUUUGAGGAACGGAAGCACCUGGCAUUCCCUUUGACCUCGCUUAUUUCUCUGUUCUUGCCUAUAAGGACACCUAGAAAUACUGCACCUUCUCAGCAAGAACUGUCAGAACGAAGGCCUAACAGCGUGGAAAGAUGGUGCCUGGUCCCUGAUGUCACGCCUUAGACCCGCUGACUUCUGGACUCUGCAACAGGAGAACAAACCCGUUUUUUCAACUACUCUGAGGUUUUUAAGUUUAUUUAUUUAAGAGAGAGCACAUGUGAGUAGGGGAGAGGCAGAGAGAGAGAGAGAGAGAGAGAGAGAGAGAAAGCGAGCGCACGCAGGAGAGAAUCCCAAGCAGGCUCCGUGCUGUCAGUGCAGCGCCCGGGGCUCGAACUCAUGAACUCCAAGAUCAUGACCUGAGCCUAAAUGAAGAGUUGAAUUAAAAAAAAUUUUUUUUAUGUUUAUUUUUGAGAAAGAGACACAAAGAGGGGAGCAGGGGAAGGUCAGAGACAGAGGAAGACAAAGUAUCUGAAGCAGUCUUGAACCCAUGAACCGUGAGAUCCAUGACCUGAGCCGAAGUUGGACGUUGAACUAAGCCACCCAGAUGCCCCUGAAGUAAUUUUUGAAAUGAGCAGCUAAGUGCACGUCUGACACAGUAGAAUGUAUUAACAUUACCAGUUGCACUUCUGGGUGUCUACCGUCGAGACUCAUUUGGAGAUGUGUCUAAGAGCAUUCACAGCUAUGCGGUUUGAUAAACUGGCCACGUGGAAAACUAACUCCUUCAGAGUGAUCGAGCCACAGGAGAAGGCAGCCAUAUGAGAACCACUAUGACCAAGAGGAAGACCAUCAGCCCAUCCCAAACAAGACACCCGGAGGCAUGACCCCCAGGACUUCUGCCGUGGCCAUGUGCCUUAAACCAGUCGACUACUUCCUGGAGGUCAAAUGGCUGAGCCUCGUAACCCAGCUCCUUCUUGGCCUUCUCUAGACUAAAGUAAUGUGUGACGCCAGUUUUGUAAACUUCUGUGCGGGUGAGGAAGGGCUGGAAGUUGUAGACCCGACCAAAAAGGAAGUGAGCCAUUUCUGUCAGGAAAGCAAAACAGUAGAUGAGGGUCAAGGGCAGGCAGAUGGAUGGGAACCUGUAGCCCAGGCCCUCAACCAGAGGCCGGAGGAACUCAAAGUUGUUCACGGGUCUGCCGUCCGAAAUGAAGUAAGGCUGCCCAGAGGCCACGUGGCCCUUGGCAGCUGUCAGGGCCUCUGAGGCCAGAAUGUGAGCCUGGACCAAGUUAUCCACGUGGACAAAUUCAACCAGGCUCCCAGGAUCCCCAUACACAAACUUGAAGAGACCCCUCUCAAUGUAGCUCACUAUCCUGGGAAGGUGCCUUUGUUCUCCAGGCCCGUAGAUGCCAGCCGGCCUCAGAGCACAGGUUCUCAAGACACCAUCACUUCUUACCAGGGUAGCACCAUUGGCCUCCAGCACUUUCUUUUCUGCAAUAGAUUUGGUCCGAGAGUAGUGAUCAGGAUGGAGGUGAAGAGGUAGGUAAGGCAGAGAUUCAUCUCCAUUUCUGAUAACUUGACCUCCAAAGAUGACAUUGAAAGUGCUAGUGUAAACUAACCUUGGCACCCCUCUCCUCCUGCAAACCUGGAGGAUGUGGUCUGUGCCCCCGACAUUGACUUCUUCAAUCAGGCUUCGAUUCAGCUGCUCCCGCCCCGACAUGCCAUAAGAGGCGAUAUGGAACACACAUGCAAUGUCCACAUCCUGGAAGGCUUUCUCCACAUCACAGAGGUGGCGAAUGUCUCCGUGUAUAAACUUGACUCCCUCUGGCAAGGGAUGAGCAGGGCUUUUGAUGUCAAAGAGAAUCACAUGGAAUCCUUUCUGGUUCAGAGCACAGCCUAGGCUGAAACAAGGAAAAGCAAGCUAGAUCGAAUAGUGACUAAGCUAUGCCUGACGAAAACCACAUAAAAUAAUUUACCAAUCAAUGUGGGGCUGACUCAAGUCUUCUGGGCUUAUCCUGAGUCCCCUCGCUUUACAUGUUCAUUGUGCAACAAUGCCUUAUGUAAGCACGCAAAUAUUCAAAACUGAGGAUCCACAUAUCCUUGCUUCUUCUAUCUUCUCACAUAGAUGGCAGCAACUACAGGUUCCAUUUUCCCCCUCUGUUUUAGGACCCACCAUCCAUUCUUUGGGACAUUCAUGAAUGAUAACAGAGCUGCAAAGGAAUAACUUAUUAUCUGGGGGCACCCGGGUGGCUCAGGCACUUGAGCCUCAGACUCUUGGUUUCGGCUCAGGUUGUGAUCUCAUGGUUUGUGAGUUCAAGCCCAGCAUCGGGCUCUGUGAUGACAGCAUGGAGCCUGCUUGGGAUUCUCUCUCUCUCCCUCUCUCUCUCUCUCUCUCUCUCUCUGCCCUCCCCUGCUCACUUUCUCUCUCUCUUUCAAAAACAAAUAAAUAAACAUUAAAAAAAGAGUAGGUAUUAUUUUAAAAUGUUUUUGGUGGGCGCAUUAUCUACACCCGCCCCCAAUUUAAUGCCUUUACAAAGAAUCUUUCUUAAAGUAGUAUAUAUCUGUAGUUCUGAAUUUCAAUGUCUGAGCAGUGGGCAACCUAGUUCAUUUCUGGUUUAACACUGUUCAAAUGAGUAAAAGUCUACACUGUACUCAUGUCAGAGUCAAAAGCUGUCAUUUUUUUCCCCAGCAACUACCAAUAAAAUAAUUCCACAGA